AGAAUGUCUUCCUGGAAAAAGCUGAUGAGGGGAAAAAAAAAUUCAGUUGUUGUGAUAGCCCCAACAGGAAGGCUCAUGGGAGAUGGUUCUCCUAGGAAAAAACUGUGUCCCUGUCCUCGUUAGGGGCUUAAUUCGUAACAGUGAACAAAUUCCCAUCACAGUGAACUCUUGGCACGUUGUUGGAGCAUCAUAAGUACUUUCACCAAAGCAGGAGGGGUGAGUGCUGAUGGGUUCUGAGUGGAAGACAUGGAGCAGCAGUAGGGCAGGCUUUGUUUGAUGGAAGGGCCCCCACCUGGAUGUGUGAACCCUGAGUUGUAGGCUGAGAGAGAUCUAAGGAGUGGUGAAGAAGGUGCCUGGUAUUUUUCAAGGUUUAUGCAGUUGACCUAAUCUGUAUCCUUAAUGAAUUAAUUAAUUUAUGUCUUAUAGGAAUAAUACAUCCAUGAUCUCUGUGCUUAGAGAAAGCUUGGGAUCCAGGAAGAUAGAGGGUAAAGAGCAGCUCUUUCCCUCCUGGGUGACCUGAGGUCUGGGACUUCUCGUUCCAGACACUCAUUGCCUCCAUUUUCUUUUACUUUUGGCAUACUGAUACUUUGCACUUGUGUGAUUACCUUGCUUGUGGUGGACUCUGUUUUUCUAUUUAACAUUUAAAAUAGGAGAAGAGCAACUCUGAGGACCUGUCACGUGUGGUGCUCCCAUGUGGUGGCACACUUCACUGGGUGAGCUAUCUCCUGGCCCUGUCACUCACAUUUUAGAGGAUAAAAUUGGGAGCACUUAAGUACUGCAUAGCAGUUGCCUUUUGUAUUUUUUUCCUCUUGGCAUCAUUUUUCUGGAGCUCUUUUUCUCCAUGGGUGGCUGGAGAGUGUUCCUUGGAGUAAGUAGAGGCUGUAGACUGGGUGGUGAGCGCUGCCUUCAUGCACCUAGAGGAAGGACUGCUCUCGUCUGGCAGGCUGCUCACUGGUGACUGCAGUUACUGACCAGUGAUCACACUCCAGCUGCAUUAUUAAGACUGGAGCACCUCCAGGACUUCUGAGAAAUGGUGACAGAUUGCUAUUAUCCCCAAGUCUAAUUCUGUGGGGUGAUUUGCCACUGCCUCCGGUUCUGGAUGAUGUCCGAACAGGACCUGGCGGAUGUGGUGCAGAUCGCUGUGGAAGACUUGAGUCCUGACCAUCCAGGUACAGAGCCUUGGGACAGUAGGUGAACUCUUAUUCUUUUUAUUCUUUAACCAUCCAAAGGCACGGUCACAACUUUGUUUUGUGUGAAACAGGGGAAACAUGUUGCAUGCCUUCUUCCACAGCCAGCUCCAAAUCCAUCUCCAGAUGAGUCUUCUGCACUUUCUCUAAUGUGUCCUAGCAUGUGUCUCUGCCUCCCUUUCCCACCCCAGAGGUCUGUAUCACAUCUGCACUCCUUCAGCUCUCUGCAUACACUUUCCCUUGUUAAGUUUCUAUUGUAACUGCUAUGGCAAUCUUAGUAUGUUGAUAUGUAUAAAUUCACCUUUUUUUUUUUUUUUUUUUUUGGUGUUCACUUGGAUUCACUGCUCCAAGCUUUUUUUUUUUUUAAAUGAACAUUUUUUUUUAGUUGUUAUGUUGUCAUAGUUGUUGUUGUUGGAUAGGACAGAGAGAAAUGGAGAGAGGAGGAUAAGACAGAGGGGGGAGAGAAAGAUAGACCCUGCAGACGUGCUUCACCUCUUGCGAAGUGACCCCUGCAGGUAGGGAGCUGGGGCCUCAAAUCCGGAUCUUUACUCCAGUCCUUGCUCUUUGUGCCAUG